AACGCGAAGAACCUUACCAGGUCUUGACAUCCCUCUGAAUAUCCUAGAGAUAGGGUAGGCCUUCGGGACAGAGGAGACAGGUGGUGCAUGGUUGUCGUCAGCUCGUGUCGUGAGAUGUUGGGUUAAGUCCCGCAACGAGCGCAACCCUUGAUUUUAGUUGCCAGCACGUGAAGGUGGGCACUCUAAAAUGACUGCCGGUGACAAACCGGAGGAAGGCGGGGAUGACGUCAAAUCAUCAUGCCCCUUAUGACCUGGGCUACACACGUACUACAAUGGCCGGUACAACGGGAAGCGAAGCCGCGAGGUGGAGCGAAUCCUAAAAAGCCGGUCUCAGUUCGGAUUGCAGGCUGCAACUCGCCUGCAUGAAGUCGGAAUUGCUAGUAAUCGCGGAUCAGCAUGCCGCGGUGAAUACGUUCCCGGGCCUUGUACACACCGCGCAUA
rnacentral:rRNA from 1 species